CAGAGUUGAUCCUGGCUCAGGACGAACGCUGGCGGCGCGCCUAACACAUGCAAGUCGAACGAGAGAUGAGGAGCUUGCUUUUCAAAUCGAGUGGCGAACGGGUGAGUAACGCGUGAGGAACCUGCCUCAAAGAGGGGGACAACAGUUGGAAACGACUGCUAAUACCGCAUAAGCCCACGGCUCGGCAUCGAGCAGAGGGAAAAGGAGCGAUUCGCUUUGAGAUGGCCUCGCGUCCGAUUAGCUAGUUGGUGAGGUAACGGCCACCAAGGCAACGAUCGGUAGCCGGACUGAGAGGUUGAACGGCCACAUUGGGACUGAGACACGGCCCAGACUCCUACGGGAGGCA
rnacentral:rRNA from 1 species